AAUGCUUUUUCAGGUCAACUUUGACAACUAUGAAGCAGUUCUGUCAUUUGUGCUGUUGAACAACAACCACUGGAAGCUGCUGUACAUAAAUACAGAAGCCGGAACUGUAUUCCUGGUAGAUCCUGCACAAGUGUCAUCUGAGCUUGUGGACUCUGAAAAGGCAGCUAAAAGAAUACAAGAAUACUUCAAGAUGAGAAGGACAUGCCAUGGGAAAACAGACUGGGUUGCGAUCCAAUGGAAAGGGGCGACAAUGCGCCACCCUAUUCAACAAUAUGGAAGCAGCUGUGGAGUUAUUGUAGUCAAAUAUGUUGCCUUUUGCAAUUGUUAAUUUGAAAAUGGUGGAGGAUUGGCAGUGAUUCCGACCAAAUGGUUUAUCAGGCCUGAGGAGGAUGAAUGCUAAUGGCCACCAGCAAGAGUUAACAUUGCAAAGGUGGUCAUAGACCAACAGGACCCACACUCUGACUGGGCAACCUACAAGUUGACUGUCAAGAGAA